GCUCUAGUAGCUUAAUGUAAAAGCAUCGGUUUUGUAACCCGGAGAUCGGAGGUUAAAUUCCUCCCUACAGCC
rnacentral:tRNA from 1 species